CCAGGAGGCUUCCUUCAUCCUCUAGACACGGACAACGGCGGAGGAACUCCAACCGUGGCGGCGCCAUGGUUGAACUAUGCCACUCAUCGAUUCCCAGACCCAAGCUCCGAUCUGAGGUAUGCUAUACGCAGACGUUUCCAAGGUGAACUAGAUGAGGGCUACCUUACCGGUUAUAGAAGCGAUAUCGAUGCCGACCACGAUGUGAGGUGGAACCCUGGCGGUACUUUCUUGUCGGCGCCGAAUUCACAUUGGUUCGCAUGAUCCCGAGUCCAAAGCUUCCACCGUACGUCUACCCUACGCCCUCCUCUUCCCUCUGGAUCGGUCGCCGAGGCCGAACCGGCGCCCGCCCAUGGAGAUUAAGUCUGGCGGCAUAAUCCCACUCUCCCCUAUCCUGCCCCCGCGACGGCG
rnacentral:lncRNA from 7 species